rnacentral:tRNA from 1 species
UGGGGCGUAGCCAAGCGGUAAGGCAGCGGUUUUUGAUACCGCCAUCGUAGGUUCGAAUCCUGCCGCCCCAACCA